GGAUGAGCACAUUGGAGCUGCCAUUGGAGAGCUUUUUCUGUCGGGGGUGCAGUCUGAUAUUCUACUGUUCAACCAGGAAUCACCCCGUCAGCACCAGACCGCAUACCCCAGGAUCAACUGGCUGAAUACAAUGAUGCAUCUGGCUCCAGUGCGCCAUCCCCCGCUCAGAGCGCGGCUGGACCCUCAAGUCAUUCCUACAAAAUCAACAGAAGAUAUGAGAGACUCUUCAGCAUAUGUUAUCAACGUUUUCAAAAAUGACUGACGCUCUCAAAGAAGAAAAAAAGUUAAAUAAACUUUUUUGUAAUUAA